GCACCUGUGAGGUGUCCCUAAGGAGAGGGAGGGCGCCCUGCGUCCGGCAGAGGAGGCGAGCAUCCCGCUCAGGUGAUGAGGAACUCCUCGCGUAACCAGUGCAGAAGGCUGCUGCCGCCGGACGCCUCCAUUGUUUGACCACAACAAGGGCCGGAUUCUCACCCAGACCUGCAAAUCCAAGAGACACAUUUCUGGAAGAUAAGAGAGCUUCUUCAAGACCAAAAAAGGAGACGGCAUGAUACCCACGUAGGGAAUUCCCCAAAGCAAGGCUUGCCAAACCUGGACCCGAGGAGCCUGCUUGCUGGAAAGGCUUUCCUGUCUGAUGUGCAGGAGGCAGAAUGCCAAACUGACUCUUCAAGGGGCAACUGCAGGGGCUCGAGACCAGCCAGCAGUAUCUCAUCCUUCAAUACAGGGGAUAUACUAUACAGUCCUUUUUCUAGAAGUGAGAAGUACG
rnacentral:sRNA from 1 species